ACUCAAUAGAUACCCUGGUAGUCCUUGCCGUAAACUAUGUAUACUUGGUGUAGUUGGACUCAAACCCCGACUGUAUCGAAAGCUAAACGCGAUAAGUAUACCGCCUGGGGAGUACGCUCGCAAGAGUGAAACUCAAAAGAAUUGACGGGGACCCGCACAAGCAGUGGAGCAUGUGGUUUAAUUCGAUGCAACGCGAAGAACCUUACCCAGACUUGACAUUUAGGAGACCGGCCUAGAGGUAGGCAAUCCCGCAAGGGCUGCUAAACAGGUGCUGCAUGGCUGUCGUCAGCUCGUGCCGUGAGGUGUUGGGUUAAGUCCCGCAACGAGCGCAACCCUUAUCAUUAUUGCCAACAGGUAAAGCUGGGAACUAUAGUGAGACUGCCUAGGUUAACUAGGAGGAAGGUGAGGAUGACGUCAAGUCCGCAUGGCCCUUAUGUCUGGGGCUACACACGUGCUACAAUGGGCGGAACAGAAAGAAGCGAAGCCGCGAGGUGAAGCAAAUCUCCAAAUUCGCCCCAGUUCAG
rnacentral:rRNA from 1 species